CUUUUUAUUGAAGUACAAAAACAUUUCUUUGUAGCACUUCUCUAUCAAGAGGGGAAAAAAAUAAGACACACCAAGACAGCUGUAAGUUUCAAGAAAAAUAAGAGGCCGGAUUCUUUGUAGAAGCUGAAGAAUAUUCCUCUGCAAUUGGUUGGCUUCCUCAGUGGUUCGGCUUCAGGAUCCCGCAGAGGUUGGCUAAGGCCCAGUCAGCCAAAGGCGCCAGCACGACUGGGACUGGAAGAUCCACUUCCAAGACGGCUCAUGCACGGUGCUGCCCAGCUGGUGCUGUAGCUGGCAGGAGGCCUGGAUUCCCUGCUGCACUAGACUUCUGUCUUGGGCCCCAUUCUCACGGGACAUUGCUCACCGCGGCCGACUGAUUGAACGCCUCUGUUGUCUUUUUUUGCGGGGUGGGGGGGGAGAUGGAGUUUCACUCUUGUUGCCCAGGCUGGAGUGCAAUGGUGCAAUCUUGGCUCACUGUAACCUCCGCCUGUGCAAUUUUUUUCUUCUUUUUUCUUUUUCCGUUCCAGGACACUUGUCACCGCCCUGCCCUGUCCUUUCUCCUCUCUUCCUCCCUCUUAGGAGAGUUGCCAGAGUUGCCAGUUUCUU
rnacentral:lncRNA from 10 species